UACGGGGGGGAGCAAGCGUUGUUCGGAUUUACUGGGCGUAAAGGGCGCGUAGGCGGCGUGACAAGUCACUUGUGAAAUCUCCGGGCUUAACCCGGAGCGGCCAAGUGAUACUGUCGUGCUAGAGUGCGGAAGGGGCUACUGGAAUUCUCGGUGUAGCGGUGAAAUGCGUAGAGAUCGGGAGGAACAUCAGUUGCGAAGGCGGCUCUCUGGACCAGCACUGACACUGAGGCACGAAAGCGUGGGGAGCAAACAGG
rnacentral:rRNA from 1 species